CGGGUGAGUAACGCGUGGGUAACCUGCCUCAUACAGGGGGAUAACAGUUAGAAAUGACUGCUAAUACCGCAUAAGCGCACAGAAUCGCAUGAUUCGGUGUGAAAAACUCCGGUGGUAUGAGAUGGACCCGCGUCUGAUUAGCUAGUUGGUGGGGUAAAGGCCUACCAAGGCGACGAUCAGUAGCCGACCUGAGAGGGUGAUCGGCCACAUUGGGACUGAGACACGGCCAAACUCCUACGGGAGGCAGCAG
rnacentral:rRNA from 1 species